CGCGGGAACAGUAGAAAUCUCCUGUGUUACCAUUUCAGUAUCAAGAAAAAUUGUCUAGCUGUCAUUAUACAAAGGUUUAAGAAAAAGUCAAAUUCAAACCCAAUCUAAGAGGCAACACUUUACAGCAUUUUAGAGUCAAGAUGGUAAUCUGCAAUGAUAUGUAAUUUAUCUGACUCGAGAAACACUUUAAUAAACUGAGUAGGAUCCGAGCAAUUUCUAGACUCCUUAAACUUUGAGCACCUGGCACAAUAAACAUUCACUCUUUCUUGCUUGCUUUCCCAGAAACUGCGCAAAUUUUCUGGGAAAGUAAGAAAGCACAAAGUAAAAUGCAAAAGCUGUACUUGGCACUAUGUGGACCUUGUACCUGAAAAACUGCAAUAAAACUAUUCAAGCUGGACUUUUUCUUUUUUUUGGGCAUCACUGGUGAGACUGAGCGUCCUGACGAUCUCUCAGGACCAUCACAACAAGGAUGCUUAGACAAGACAUCAAGCAUUUCUUGCAAUCACGUCUCAGCAGAAAUUCUUUUAUGAUGAGGUAGUUUGGAUUUACAGCGGAAGCCACAUCACCCAUCAUUUGAUACCAAAACGAAGCCUUUUUUUCCCAGGGACCAGGAGGCCAGCAAGACUCCUAUCUACAUUUUCCAAGCACACAGGGAUUGAGCUGUGCCUGCAGCCUGUUGAAAGAAACCCAGGGCGAGAAGUGGAGGCAGGAGGCAGGGUGCUGAGCGGGCACCCCCCGUGCCCAGCCGCCUCGGGGCACCGACACCCGCACGGCUUCACACCUCCCCACACGGCGCCUGCUUUCCAAACCCAAAUUGUCUCACAUUUUCUCACUGGGCAAAGAAAAAAUUGCGUAUUUAAGAGACAUUUAGCAGGCCGCAAACAAAUGGAUCGAAUUGUCCUCUUCCAUUUUAAACGUGACAUAAGCAGAAAGCACUUACCGGCAGGGCACAAAGAGCUCAGCCAUGCUGGGGAAGAACGGCACAGCAACGAGAGCAAAGAUCCUGCGGUGCAGCUACGAGAUGCUAUUCUUCCUACUACGAUAGAGAAUCUUGUUUAAAAGCAUAACGCCACUUCCUAAUAAAAU
rnacentral:lncRNA from 1 species